GGGCAAUGGGGCCAAUGGGGGCACUGGGGGCACAGGUCUGCAGGACUGUGGGGUUGUGGGGUUGUCAGUGCAACCCAGCACACUAACACAACACAAUAGAACAUAACAACAGAAUGCAAUGCACCAUGACGGAACACAACACAUAGAACACAAUGCAAUGCAACACAGUGCAACAGAACUCAAUACAACACAACGCAGUGGAACACAACACAACACAACACAACUCUGUGCAACACAACACAACAGAACUCAGUGGAGCACAGCACAGUGCAACAGAUCACAAUGCAACACAACAGAAGACAACACAUAGAACACAACACAACAGAAGACGACGCAGUGCAACACAACACAACACAACACAACACAACACAACACAACGAGUAUGGAACACAACACAGGACAGCACAACUUGACACAACGCAGUGGAACACAACGUGAUGUGACACAACGCCACACAGCACAACACAAUGCAAUGUGACACAACGAGAUGGCUCAGAGCGUGGCCCGGGCGGUGCUCCCAGCUGUGCCCUCGCCCCACAUUGGACAGCAUUGCAUCGAGGUCAGGGAUGUGCAGCACCUCCCGCCCCACAGCACUGGGUGUGCAGGCAAUUAGCUGGCCCCGCCCGUCCUAAUUACCAGGGCAAAGUGUGCUACGCUCCCUGCUGACCCAUCUGCUGUGUCCCAUGGCCAUGGGGUAUCAACGUGGCCCAGCACAGAGCGGGCAGAGAUCUGUGUGUCCCAAUGUCCCACGUGCAGUGGUGCUGCUUCCCCCAGCUCCUGCAUGACCUGCAUUCACUCCUCUGAUUUCCAUUUCCCACCACACACCCGGGGUCCCUGCCCUGUGAUGAAGCCAAGUGCUGUUCCCCACUUGUGGUGCACAUCCAAGGAGUCCCUGUCCUCCCCUGUCAGCGUUUCAUUUCACAACAUGGUGUCAAAUGCUGCUCCUGUUCGGGGUGCAUUGCCGUGCCCUGGGUGGAGGCGUGGGCACAGUGGGACCUCUGGUUGUGCAGUGGAGGAGCCCAGCCCCGUGCCGGGCAGCACUCCAUGUUCCCGGCCUGCUGCGGCGCUCAGAGCACUGGCACAGCGCUCUGCUGGAGUUACUCAUCGCUCCCAUCAGCAGCCCUCACCCAGCGCCCAUCUGCGGCUGCAGGACAGCGCCGUUCAUCAGCGGCGUGAGUCGGGGCUGGAGUGUGUGCAGCGGGGCCUCAGCUGUGUGCCCAUCGCCGUGCAUCCCUCGCCGUGCUGCGUGUGCUGCAGGAUGGGGCUGCACACGAGCGUGCAAAGUGCUGGGUGCGUGGAAAUGGCUGGAAAAGUGCUCCCUACUCCUGCUUCAAUCAGAGGAACGGAGCAGCUGUUGGAGUGAAUGGGCCCUGCACUAAAGCAGACGUCUUAAUAUCUUUUGCAGAGGAGGUGCAUUGUGAUUCACUCUGUGCAUCUCUAUUACUCAGCGUUUGAUAGGGGCUUACUUGUCUCAAGUGCUUUUCAUUAUUGCCCUAAUGCUAUCUAUUAACAUAUGGGAUGGAGGCUCUUUUCUCAUCUGGAGCGUGCAUCACUCCGCUUUUAAGGAUGAUGGGGCUUGCAAGUACAUAACACUUUGCUGCCUCCCUGACGGAGCUCACCAGGAGGGAGGGGGUGCGUGGGGUUGGACGGCCGCAGGGCUGCGAGGACACAGUGGUGUGAGCAGAGCCACAGCCAUGCACUGCUCCACUGCCACAGCCCUGCACGGCAGCCGGGUCAGUUAGCUGCUUUAACUGCCCAGGGGGUGUUUGCAGGUGCAGGCUCUGUGGGCAGACUUUGCGGGGGAAGAUUACAGGUGUGGUUUUCUGGGUGGGUGCUGUGUGAUGGGCAGAGCUGUGCUGGGGCGGUCCCACGCGCUGCUCUUACUCUGCACAUGGCUGCAACUCAGAGCUGAACCUUCUGCUGGACAGGAGCAGAAGGAGCUGCAGCCUGGUGAGAGAGCACAUCUCUUCCCUCGGCUCAGGAUGAGUUCUGCCUUGCAUUUUGGUGAGCUAUGGCAAGAAACGCAAUAGCACAGGAGCAAAAAUCACUGCACCUCAGGCUCAGAGCGGUUGGAAGGGACCUGUGGGGCUCCCCCAGCCCGGCCCCAUCCUGCAGGGCCCGCAUGUCCCAGCAGCCAGGUUGGGAUGGGGGGAUUCAGAGCACCUGGAAACCCCAGCGUGGCACAGUUGUUCAGCAGCCGCCUCCGAGCAGCUUGAUGGAUGGCGGGCCGGUCCCACCCGCAGCCAGAUGACAGCUCCUCGCAUCAGCCGCUGUGAUAAAUAGCAAUUACAGACAGGAGCACUGCCACUCACAUUUGCCUAAGUGAGGAGCGGAAUCAUACAUCUCCGCUGAUUACAUAUCAAUGAUGCGCUGGAGGCCUUCGCAACUUUUAGAUCCGCUUAAGAUAUGCCGCCCUGAUUUAGACGGCGAUUUGCAUACAAUUUACCCAUAAAGCCUUAC
ensembl:lncRNA